UGACUCAGUUGGUAGAGCAUGGUGUUUGCAACACCAGGGUUGUGGGUUCGAUUCCCAC
rfam:Salmo salar isolate Sally breed double haploid chromosome ssa06, whole genome shotgun sequence.